rnacentral:rRNA from 1 species
GACGAACGCUGGCGGCGUGCCUAAUACAUGCAAGUCGAACGCUUUUUCUUUCACCGGAGCUUGCUCCACCGAAAGAAAAAGAGUGGCGAACGGGUGAGUAACACGUGGGUAACCUGCCCAUCAGAAGGGGAUAACACUUGGAAACAGGUGCUAAUACCGUAUAACACUAUUUUCCGCAUUGAAGAAAGUUGAAAGGCGCUUUUGCGUCACUGAUGGAUGGACCCUGGUUGCAUUAGCUAGUUGGUGAGGUAACGGCUCACCAAGGCAACGAUGCAUAGCGGACCUGAGAGGGUGAUCGGCCACACUGGGACUGAGACACGGCCCAGACUCCUACGGGAGGCAGCAGUAGGGAAUCUUCGGCAAUGGACGAAAGUCUGACCGAGCAACGCCGCGUGAGUGAAGAAGGUUUUCGGAUCGUAAAACUCUGUUGUUAGAGAAGAACAAGGAUGAGAGUAAAACGUUCAUCACUUGACGGUAUCUAACCAGAAAGCCACGGCUAACUACGUGCCAGCAGCCGCCGUAA